rnacentral:rRNA from 1 species
GAUGAACGCUGGCGGCGUGCCUAAUACAUGCAAGUCGAGCGGUAAGGCCCCUUCGGGGGUACACGAGCGGCGGACGGCUGAGUAGCGCGUAGGAACGUACCCCAAAGUGAGGGAUAACUGCUCGAAAGAGUAGCUAAUACCGCAUGUGAUCUAUGGAUUAAAGCUUUAUGCGCUUUGGGAGCGGCCUGCGUAUGAUUAGCUAGUUGGUGAGGUAAUUGCUCACCAAGGCGACGAUCAUUAGCUGGUCUGAGAGGAUGAUCAGCCAGACUGGGACUGAGACACGGCCCAGACUCCUACGGGAGGCAGCAGUAGGGAAUUUUCCACAAUGGGGGCAACCCUGAUGGAGCAACGCCGCGUGCAGGAUGAAGGCCUUCGGGUUGUAAACUGCUUUUAUAGGUGAAGAUUAUGACGGUAACCUAUGAAUAAGGAUCGGCUAACUCCGUGCCAGCCGCCGCAGUAAAAC